AUCCCAGACUCCUACGGGAGGCAGCAGUGGGGAAUAUUGGGCAAUGGGCGCAAGCCUGACCCAGCAAUGCCGCGUGAAGGAAGAAGGCCCUCGGGUUGUAAACUUCUUUUAUCGGGGACGAAGGAUGUGACGGUACCUGAUGAAUAAGCUCCGGCUAACUACGUGCCAGCAGCCGCGGUAAUACGUAGGGAGCAAGCGUUGUUCGGAAUGACUGGGCGUAAAGGGUGCGUAGGCGGUUAUACAAGUUAGAAGUGAAAUACCCAGGGCUUAACUCGGGUGCUGCUUCUAAAACUGUAAGACUUGAGUGCAGUAGAGGUUAGUGGAAUUCCUAGUGUAGCGGUGGAAUGCGUAGAUAUUAGGAGGAACACCAGAGGCGAAGGCGGCUAACUGGACUGCAACUGACGCUGAGGCACGAAAGUGUGGGGAGCAAACAGGAUUAGAUACCCGGGUA
rnacentral:rRNA from 1 species